rnacentral:rRNA from 1 species
CCUAUUAGUGGGGGACAACAUUCCGAAAGGAAUGCUAAUACCGCAUACGCCCUACGGGGGAAAGCAGGGGAUCUUCGGACCUUGCGCUAAUAGAUGAGCCUAAGUCAGAUUAGCUAGUUGGUGGGGUAAAGGCCUACCAAGGCGACGAUCUGUAGCGGGUCUGAGAGGAUGAUCCGCCACACUGGGACUGAGACACGGCCCAGACUCCUACGGGAGGCAGCAGUGGGGAAUAUUGGACAAUGGGCGAAAGCCUGAUCCAGACAUGCCGCGUGUGUGAAGAAGGCCUUUUGGUUGUAAAGCACUUUAAGCGAGGAAGAGGCUACUUGGAUUAAUACUCUAGGAUAGUGGACGUUACUCGCAGAAUAAGCACCGGCUAACUCUGUGCCAGCAGCCGCGGUAAUACAGAGGGUGCGAGCGUUAAUCGGAUUUACUGGGCGUAAAGCGUGCGUAGGCGGCUUUUUAAGUCGGAUGUGAAAUCCCUGAGCUUAACUUAGGAAUUGCAUUCGAUACUGGGAAGCUAGAGUAUGGGAGAGGAUGGUAGAAUUCCAGGUGUAGCGGUGAAAUGCGUAGAGAUCUGGAGGAAUACCGAUGGCGAAGGCAGCCAUCUGGCCUAAUACUGACGCUGAGGUACGAAAGCAUGGGGAGCAAACAGGAUUAGAUACCCUGGUAGUCCAUGCCGUAAACGAUGUCUACUAGCCGUUGGGGCCUUUGAGGCUUUAGUGGCGCAGCUAACGCGAUAAGUAGACCGCCUGGGGAGUACGGUCGCAAGACUAAAACUCAAAUGAAUUGACGGGGGCCCGCACAAGCGGUGGAGCAUGUGGUUUAAUUCGAUGCAACGCGAAGAACC